rnacentral:rRNA from 1 species
UAUUGGACAAUGGGGGCAACCCUGAUCCAGCAAUGCCGCGUGAGUGAUGAAGGCCUUAGGGUUGUAAAGCUCUUUUGGCGGGGACGAUGAUGACGGUACCCGCAGAAUAAGCCCCGGCUAACUUCGUGCCAGCAGCCGCGGUAAUACGAAGGGGGCAAGCGUUGUUCGGAAUUACUGGGCGUAAAGGGCGCGUAGGCGGCUUAUCAAGUCAGGCGUGAAAUUCCCGGGCUCAACCUGGGGGCUGCGCUUGAUACUGGUUGGCUUAAUACGGGAGAGGAUAGUGAAUUCCCAGUGAGAGGUAAAUUCGAGUAUUGGAAGACACCAGUGGCAAGGCGGCAUCUGGCCCGUUUAGCGUGGGCAAAUAAA